rnacentral:miRNA from 1 species
GUAUCCUAUUAGGUUCAUGCAAAAGCAAUUGAGGUUUGGGAUUACUUUCAGUGGCAAAAACUUCAAUUACUUUUGCAGAAACCUAAUA